UUCCAACUCUGUUACUGUUACUGACUCUUCUUGGUAUUGCUGGUUCCUUUUCAACUGUGGCUUCAUUGAAGACUCUGCUUAUUGAUUCCACUCAGCUCAUCUCAAUCACGUGGCCCAGCUGAUUCCCCCCCCUCGCUGUUCUACUUACUGUUGCUGACUUGGAAGGCCAAUCUGUUCUUAGAUCUUUGGUUCCAGUCUUCCAUGCAGUGGUGGCAUUCAGCCGGUUCUAUCCGGUUCAGGCAAACUGGUAGCGCCGGCUGCGGGUGGCUCUGCCCACCCACCCGGAUGUAAUCAUGUCCCAUUUAUCCAUGUUUGUG